rnacentral:rRNA from 1 species
AGGAUUAACGCUGGCGGCGUGCAUGAAACAUGCAAGUCGAGCGCGGUGUGAUGCGGGGUAACCCAAUUCACAUCUAGCGGCGAACGGGUGAGUAACACGUGAGCAACCUACCUUUGAGUUGGGGAUAGCCCUGGGAAACCAGGAUUAAUACCCGAUGUGGUCACAACAGGACAUCCUGAUGUGAGUAAAGGCGCAAGCCGCUCAAUGACGGGCUCGCGGCCUAUUAGCUUGUUGGUGGGGUAACGGCCUACCAAGGCGAUGAUGGGUAGCUGGUCUGAGAGGACGAUCAGCCACACUGGGACUGAGACACGGCCCAGACUCCUACGGGAGGCAGCAGUUAGGAAUUUUCCGCAAUGGGCGAAAGCCUGACGGAGCAACGCCGCGUGAGUGAUGAAGACCUUAGGGUUGUAAAGCUCUGUCGGAGGGGAAGAACACAAUGACGGUACCCUCCAAGAAGCCCGGCUAACUACGUGCCAGCAGCCGCGGUAAU